GCCCCCGUAGCUCAGCGGCAGAGCGUUCCCUUGGUAAGGGAGAGGUCACGAGUUCAAUUCUCGUCGGGGGCUCCA
rnacentral:tRNA from 1 species